rnacentral:rRNA from 1 species
GACGAACGCUGGCGGCGUGCUUAACACAUGCAAGUCGAACGGAAAGGCCCUGCUUUUGUGGGGUGCUCGAGUGGCGAACGGGUGAGUGACACGUGAGUAACCUGCCCUUGACUUUGGGAUAACUUCAGGAAACUGGGGCUAAUACCGGAUAGGAGCUCCUGCUGCAUGGUGGGGGUUGGAAAGUUUCGGCGGUUGGGGAUGGACUCGCGGCUUAUCAGCUUGUUGGUGGGGUAGUGGCUUACCAAGGCUUUGACGGGUAGCCGGCCUGAGAGGGUGACCGGCCACAUUGGGACUGAGAUACGGCCCAGACUCCUACGGGAGGCAGCAGGGGGGAAUAUUGCACAAUGGGCGGAAGCCUGAUGCAGCAACGCCGCGUGCGGGAUGACGGCCUUCGGGUUGUAAACCGCUUUCGCCUGUGACGAAGCGUGAGUGACGGUAAUGGGUAAAGAAGCACCGGCUAACUACGUGCCAGCAGCCGCGGUGAUACGUAGGGUGCGAGCGUUGUCCGGAUUUACUGGGCGUAAAGGGCUCGUAGGUGGUUGAUCGCGUCGGAAGUGUAAUCUUGGGGCUUAACCCUGAGCGUGCUUUCGAUACGGGUUGACUUGAGGAAGGUAGGGGAGAAUGGAAUUCCUGGUGGAGCGGUGGAAUGCGCAGAUAUCAGGAGGAACACCAGUGGCGAAGGCGGUUCUCUGGGCCUUUCCUGACGCUGAGGAGCGAAAGCGUGGGGAGCGAACAGGCUUAGAUACCCUGGUAGUCCACGCUGUAAACGGUGGGUACUAGGUGUGGGGUCCAUUCCACGGGUUCCGUGCCGUAGCUAACGCUUUAAGUACCCCGCCUGGGGAGUACGGCCGCAAGGCUAAAACUCAAAGGAAUUGACGGGGCCCCGCACAAGCGGCGGAGCAUGCGGAUUAAUUCGAUGCAACGCGUAGAACCUUACCUGGGUUUGACAUGGAUCGGGAGUGCUCAGAGAUGGGUGUGCCUCUUUUGGGGUCGGUUCACAGGUGGUGCAUGGCUGUCGUCAGCUCGUGUCGUGAGAUGUUGGGUUAAGUCCCGCAACGAGCGCAACCCUUGUUCACUGUUGCCAGCACGUUAUGGUGGGGACUCAGUGGAGACCGCCGGGGUCAACUCGGAGGAAGGUGGGGAUGACGUCAAGUCAUCAUGCCCCUUAUGUCCAGGGCUUCACGCAUGCUACAAUGGCUGGUACAGAGAGUGGCGAGCCUGUGAGGGUGAGCGAAUCUCGGAAAGCCGGUCUCAGUUCGGAUUGGGGUCUGCAACUCGACCUCAUGAAGUCGGAGUCGCUAGUAAUCGCAGAUCAGCAACGCUGCGGUGAAAAGGUUCCCGGG